AAGGCUUUACGUUAAUUAAAGUGUUUGAGUUGCAUUCAAUUGAUGUUGGAUAAAAUCCUGCAAGCCUUA
rnacentral:tRNA from 12 species